rnacentral:lncRNA from 1 species
GAGGAAGAGAAAAAUCAGAAGAAAGUGAUGUCACAGAGGCAGAGGGAGGAGUUUCUGAGAAGAGGGAAUGGCCACAGUGCAAACAGCUCAGCAAUAACAGGCCUCAGCCACAAAGAACCAGCCAUCCUGGCCAACUCAGAAUGUGGAGACAUCGUCCUUCUGUGCUGUUCCAUGCACAUUUCUCCUCCUCAUCUUCCCUUCUGCCUUGACUGGAUCAUAAUUCUGACGUGAGAGGAUGAGUACGUUGUAUGCUUGGCCUAUCCCAACUGUUCAUAAUUACAAUACACCACCAAUUUUGUAUCAGGCAAAGCACUUUUUAUAUGCAUCCUUUAAAUU